UACGUAGGGUGCGAGCGUUAAUCGGAAUUACUGGGCGUAAAGCGUGCGCAGGCGGUUGUGUAAGACAGAUGUGAAAUCCCCGGGCUCAACCUGGGAACUGCAUUUGUGACUGCACGGCUGGAGUGCGGCAGAGGGGGAUGGAAUUCCGCGUGUAGCAGUGAAAUGCGUAGAUAUGCGGAGGAACACCGAUGGCGAAGGCAAUCCCCUGGGCCUGCACUGACGCUCAUGCACGAAAGCGUGGGGAGCGAACAGG
rnacentral:rRNA from 1 species